GACGAACGCUGGCGGCGUGCUUAACACAUGCAAGUCGAGCGGUAAGGCCCUUUCGGGGGUACGACGAGCGGCGAACGGGUGAGUAACACGUGGGUGACCUGCCUCUAGCUCUGGGAUAAGCCUGGGAAGCUGGGUCUAAUACCGGAUAUGACCUCGCGGUGCAUGUUGCGGGGUGGAAAGCCUUGUGCGGCUAGGGAUGGGCCCGCGGCCUAUCAGCUUGUUGGUGGGGUGANGGCCUACCAAGGCGACGACGGGUAGCCGGCCUGAGAGGGCGACCGGCCACACUGGGACUGAGACACGGCCCAGACUCCUACGGGAGGCAGCAGUGGGGAAUCUUGCGCAAUGGGCGAAAGCCUGACGCAGCGACGCCGCGUGAGGGAUGACGGCCUCGGUUGU
rnacentral:rRNA from 1 species